rnacentral:rRNA from 1 species
CCUACGUGUGGCAGCAGUGGGGAAUAUUUCACAAUGGGGGAAACCCUGAUGCAGCGACGCCGCGUGAAGGAAGAAGGCUUUCGGUAUGUAAACUGCUAUCAGCAGGGAAGAAAAUGACGGUACCUGACGAAGAAGCCACGGCUAACUACGUGCCAGCAGCCGCGGUAAUACGUAGGGGGCAAGCGUUAUCCGGAUUGACUGGGUGUAAAGAGAGCGGAGGGGGUUUAGCAAGUCAGAAGUAAAAGCCCGGGGCUAAACCCCGGGACUGGUUUUGAAACUGUUGAACUCGAUUGCGGGAGAGGUAACUGGAAUUCCUAGUGUAGCGGUGAAAUGCGUAGAUAUUAGGAGGAACACCAGUAGCGUAGGCAGCUUACUGGACUGUCAAUGACGCUGAGGCUCGAAAGCGUGGGGAGCAAACGGGAUUAGAUACCCCAGUAGUC